CGGCUCGUUUCGGACUUCCUCCUGUUCUGUUGCCGCAAAAUAUUUCCGCUGUCCUUCCCGUCCCAGCAGGCUGGCGAGCGCCGACGCUCGACGCGCGUCGUUCCAGUCGUUGCCGCCGGCCGCCUCGAGGUGGGCAUGAAACAUUUUCUU
rnacentral:lncRNA from 1 species